GACAGAGGUCCCGAGCGUUAGGCGGAAUCACUGGGCUUAAAGCGUGUGUAGGCGGAUGCCUAAGUACCUUGUGAAAUCCCACGGCUCACCCGUGGAACUGCUCGGUAUACUGGGUGUCUUGAGCCACUUAGGGGCUACCGGAACAAAUGGUGGAGCGGUGAAAUGCGUAGAUAUCAUUUGGAACGCCAAUGGUGAAAACAGGUAGCUGGGAGUGUGCUGACGCUGAGACACGAAAGUCAGGGGAGCAAACGGG
rnacentral:rRNA from 1 species